CUCUUUUCUUAACUAUUAAUCGGUUUUGGAAUAAGGGCUGGGAAAGACCGGUGCCAGCCGCCGCGGUAAUACCGGCAGCUCGAGUGGUCGUCGCUUUUAUUGGGCCUAAAACGUCCGUAGCCUGUUUGGUAAAUCUGUGGGUAAAUCAACCAGCUUAACUGGUUGAAUUCUGCAGAGACUGCCAGACUAGGGACCGGGAGAGGUGUGGGGUACUCUAGGGGUAGGGGUAAAAUCCUGUCAUCCUUAGAGGACCACCAGUUGCGAAGGCGCCACACUAGAACGGAUCCCACGGUCAGGGACGAAGCCUAGGGGCACGAACCGGAUUAGAUACCCGGGUAGUCCUAGGUGUAAACGCUGUGAACUUGGUGUCGGGAGUCCGCAAUGGGCCCCCGGUGCCGGAGUGAAGAUGUUAAGUUCACUGCCUGGGGAGUACGGUCGCAAGGCUGAAACUUAAAGGAAUUGGCGGGGGAGCACUGCAACGGGAGGAGCGUGCGGUUUAAUUGGAUUCAACGCCGGAAAACUCACCAGGGCCGACUGUUAGAUGAAGACCAGCGUAAUGAGCUUGUCGGAUUUUCAGAGAGGUGGUGCAUGGCCGUCGUCAGUUCGUACUGUAAAGCGUUCUGUUAAGUCAGAUAGAUCGG
rnacentral:rRNA from 1 species